GCGCUGACCUUUAAAAUGGACCGAAAUCAAUUAACCCAUGUACCUGCCAGCACUUCUUGACUUGUGCUUAUGCUGUAGCCACCUUUAACACUCCUAUGAAUUGCUACCUGAAAACAAGUUCUUCACUGGUUUAAGAUGGGGUGAAACAAAAUGAACUGAUAAUUAUGUUAUGUGAUGGAGGUGUCAGCUAACACUAUGGUGGUAAUCAUAUUGCAAUAUAUAAAUGUUACAGUGGUAAUCAUGUUGCAGUACUCUAUAUAAAUGUAUCAAAUUAACUCGUUGUACACUUUAAACUUGCACGAUGUUAUAUGCCAAUUAUAUCACACAAAAAAAGAUGGGGUAAAAUAACCAAUCUGAGAAAGCAGUUUCCUAUCUGAAUUACAAAUGCGGUUCCUGUCAAGUAGGUUACAGUCUUUGAGAAAAAAUGAAAUAAAAUGAAAUAGGAAGACACUGGGAUAGAUCAGAUGAGUAAUUUGACAAGUUGUGUCCUGGGUGUGAAACAAAGAGAAGCAAAAUGUUCCCAGAGAGAUGCAGCUCCUGCAAUCACUAAUGCACACUUCCCCAUCUCUGUGUCGAGCCCUGUGAACAGGAGAGCGUGCAGAUUUAGGGUGCAAUGGCUUGUCACUCACCUGAAGCCUAAAAGAGUUCCUGUCUGUAAGUUUGCACACCGUUCUGAAUGAAUAACUUAAGGGCAGAGUUGAGAGCAUGCAGAAAGCACCAGACACACCAGGCUUGGAAGAUUUCACAUCUUGACUCUUUGUACUUGAGUGGGUCUUUCACCGAGGAAACCCAGCAGGCUUUCAGGCAGCAGACAGGAGAGCAGAGAGGCCUAGAAAGUUUAAUGAUUCGCCCAAGGCUAGUAAACCUGGCUUUGAAAAUGUCAGGGUGGAGGGAAAUUGACCUCUUUGUCCUAACUACCUGGCUAAGUUUCCCUCAACAAAGCAUGCUUCUCUUGGAACACCAGAAGAGGCACUCUGGUCAAAAGAAAACAAAACAAAAAAGUUAAAAACAAACAAACAAAACCCAUUACCAUUAAAAACAGAGCCCACUGGGUUGAACUGAUACAAGCAACUGGUUUUAAAACAGUUAUAGUUCAUUCCAGCACCCAACUCAUUUGUGGAGCCAUAGGGGCGCCCAUGCCCAAACCUAGGGACCACUGGAGUUGUUCUAAGUGGGGACGUGCCAAGCAAUGGUUCUCCCCUCUCCUGUCUCCUCUGAUCAUCUUUGGAUUGAGAGACCACAGCAGGGAGGGAUUUAUCAUGAGUACAAAAGGCUUUGGGCCCGGGGGGUCCUUCAAUGAAGGUGAUGUCGUGUUUUUUGUAUUUGACAUUUUGACCACCUCGC
rnacentral:lncRNA from 1 species